GCCCUUCGGGGUGCCCAGGCGCGAAAACUUUACAAUGCUGGAAACGGCGAUAGGGGGACUUCGAGUGCCAGGAUACAAAUCUGGCUGUCGUGAUGCCUAAAAAGCAUUGCAUAGCAAGGGCCGGGCAAGACCGGUGCCAGCCGCCGCGGUAACACCGGCGGCUCGAGUGGUAACCGUUAUUAUUGGGUCUAAAGGGUCUGUAGCCGGCCGGAUAAGUCUCUUGGGAAAUCUGACAGCUUAACUGUCAGGCUUUCAGGAGAUACUGUCUGGCUCGAGACCGGGAGAGGUGAGAGGUACUUCAGGGGUAGGGGUGAAAUCUUGUAAUCCUUGAAGGACCACCAGUGGCGAAGGCGUCUCACCAGAACGGACCUGACGGCAAGGGACGAAAGCUAGGGGCACGAACCGGAUUAGAUACCCGGGUAGUCCUAGCCGUAAACGAUACUCGCUAGGUGUCAGCCACGGUGCGACCGUGGUCGGUGCCGUAGGGAAGCCGUGAAGCGAGCCACCUGGGAAGUACGGCCGCAAGGCUGAAACUUAAAGGAAUUGGCGGGGGAGCAC
rnacentral:rRNA from 1 species